GCCUGGACAACUCAGUUGGUUAGAGCAUGGUGCUGAUAAUCCCAGUGUUGCAGGUUUGAUCCCUGUAUGGGACA